rnacentral:rRNA from 2 species
CACCUGUGAACUACUGUAGACCGUGGAUAGACUCUCGCUGCACGCAGCGGAUUUGAGGCUCGCACUUGUGCUUGCUUCUACAUAUCUACUGGUCUAUGUUAUACAUACACUUUUAAAAAGAACAUCGAAUGUCUGUUUACUGGUCUAUGACCUUUAAAUGAAAUACAACUUUUAACAACGGAUCUCUUGGCUCUCGCAUCGAUGAAGAACGCAGCGAAAUGCGAUAAGUAAUGUGAAUUGCAGAAUUCAGUGAAUCAUCGAAUCUUUGAACGCACCUUGCGCUCUUUGGUAUUCCGAAGAGCAUGCCUGUUUGAGUGUCAUUAAAUUCUCAACCUAAACUUGGUUUUACGACUGAUGUUUAGGCUUGGACUUGGGGGUUGCCGGCAUCUGCAAAGAAGUCAGCUCCUCUUAAAAGUAUUAGCGGUGACUUGGUUAGCCGUUCCUUGGUGUGAUAAUUAUCUACGCUUUGGUUCAGCUUCCAGUUUGUGUCACAGCUUCCAACUGUCUGUUAACUCGGACUGUUUGCUUGCAAACACUUUAUUGACUCUUGACCU